rnacentral:rRNA from 1 species
UACGUGGGGGGCAAGCGUUGUCCGGAAUCAUUGGGCGUAAAGAGCGUGUAGGCGGCCCGAUAAGUCCGCUGUGAAAGUCCAGGGCUCAACCCUGGGAUGCCGGUGGAUACUGUCGGGCUCGAGUCCGGAAGAGGAGUGUGGAAUUCCUGGUGUAGCGGUGAAAUGCGCAGAUAUCAGGAGGAACACCGGUGGCGAAGGCGGGUCUCUGGGCCGAUACUGACGCUGAGGAGCGAAAGCGUGGGGAGCGAACAGG